GACCGAAGUUACAUUGAAAUUGUUUGUAAACUGUCUAGGCUAAUAAGGAGUAUCUUGAUAUUGCCCAAGUCUAAGUGACACAGGGAUAUAAAUUGAGGCAUGAACACCUCAAAAUGAUUACAUUGACAUGUGAAAUGGGGACCUUACUGUAUAGGUUAAAAGAAAGCAUCCUGGAAGAUUUAAUGAGGAACGGAUCAAGUCAUGGAGGACGAAGUUUCUGAUGCUACCAUAGCAACAGGGAGUCACUUCUAACUUUGGUUUUAACUGUGUAGUUACAUUAGGGGGAACACAACAUUUUUAAGUUGGGAGUGAGACUUCAUUUUGAUGGAUAUUUUUGUGAUGGGGUGUGAUAUGUCAUGGUGGAUGAUAAUUUGGUAGAUUGAUUUUAUUUUGGUAUUUUUUAAUGACAUUUAUAUUAGUAUGA